rnacentral:lncRNA from 1 species
GUAGAAAUGCGGGUAUGAGCAGCCAGGAUAUUGAUAGGGGCAGUCAAGAAAAGAAUUCUACUGAAAUAAGGAUGAUGAAUUCCCAUGGACAGCUAGCAAAUUAUCUGAUGUGGGAAGCAGGUUCAGGAUUUCUGAACGAUGGAUGAUCCUGAUUGACAUUUCAUGUGACAGUUCUCAAUCUCUUCGUGAUUGGGAAAGUGGCACUUAUAACCACCAUCUACUGGCAAGUCAUUGGCUCUCUCUCCUUCUUGGCCUGGUUUCCCUGUCCCUCAUUCCUACCUUUUUCCAGGAUCACAAAAGCCGAUAACAAGCUUGCACUCAGGUUCUGCUUCCUGGAGAGCCCAGGCUGAUAUCUCACUUCAUAUUUACAACAACUAUGCAAGAUAUGUCUUCUUGUUGUUGUCUCAUAAAUAAAGAAACGGGAGAGUCUAACAAGAUAACUGACUUGUACAGAGUCACACAGCUAGUUGGAGUGCAGUGAUGCAAUCAUGGCUC